rnacentral:rRNA from 1 species
AUUGAACGCUGGCGGCAUGCCUUACACAUGCAAGUCGAACGGCAGCACGGGAGCAAUCCUGGUGGCGAGUGGCGGACGGGUGAGUAAUAGAUCGGAACGUGCUCAGUCGUGGGGGAUAACGCAGCGAAAGCUGUGCUAAUACCGCAUACGAUCUCGGGAAGAAAGCGGGGGAUCUCAAGACCUCGCGUGAUUAGAGCGGCCGCUAUCGGAUUAGCUAGUUGGUGGGGUAAAAGACCACCAAGGCGACGAGCUGUAGCUGGUCUGAGAGGACGACCGGCCACACUGGAACUGAGACACGGUCCAGACUCCUACGGGAGGCAGCAGUGGGGAAUUUUGGACAAUGGGCGCAAGCCUGAUCCAGCAAUGCCGCGUGCAGGAUGAAGGCCUUCGGGUUGUAAACUGCUUUUGUACGGAACGAAACGGCGAGCUCUAAUACAGUUUGCUAAUGACGGUACCGUAAGAAUAAGCACCGGCUAACUACGUGCCAGCAGCCGCAGUAA